CAAAGGGCGGACAGUGAUCUACAGUGGGGGGUGAUGUGAACAACAACAUAAUAUAAUACCACUGCACAACUCCACAUAAUACCACUGCACAACUCCAUAUAAUAUCACUGCACAACUCCAUAUAAUAUCACUCCACAACUCAUAUAAUAUCACUGCACAACUCCAUAUAAUAUAAUAUCACUCCACAACUCACAUAAUACCACUCCACAACUCACAUAAUAUCACUCCACAACUCACAUAAUAUCACUGCACAACUCCAUAUAAUAUAAUAUCACUCCACAACUCAUAUAAUACCACUGCACAACUCACAUAAUAUCACUGCACAACUCCAUAUAAUAUCACUCCACAACUCCAUAUAAUAUCACUGCUCAACUCACAUAAUAUAAUACCACUGCACAACUCACAUAAUAUAAUAUCACUGCACAACUCCAUAUAAUAUCACUGCACAACUCACAUAAUAUCACUGCACAACUCCAUAUAAUACCACUGCACAACUCACAUAAUACCA
ensembl:lncRNA